rnacentral:ribozyme from 1 species
ACACAGAGUGAAAGAAAGAAAGAAGAGAAAGAAAGAAAGCACGAACGAACGAAAGGAAAGCCAGUUGUUGCCCGUUGUGUGUUCACUGUUUGACUAU